UACGGAGGGUGCAAGCGUUAUCCGGAUUCACUGGGUUUAAAGGGUGCGUAGGCGGGUAGGUAAGUCAGUGGUGAAGUCUCCGGGCUUAACCCGGAAACUGCCAUUGAUACUAUCAGUCUUGAAUAACCGUGGAGGUAAGCGGAAUAUGUCAUGUAGCGGUGAAAUGCUUAGAUAUGACAUAGAACACCAAUUGCGAAGGCAGCUUACUACCCGAAUAUUGACACUGAGGCACGAAAGCGUGGGGAUCAAACAGG
rnacentral:rRNA from 1 species